rnacentral:rRNA from 1 species
CCUACGGGAGGCAGCAGUGAGGAAUAUUGGUCAAUGGCCGGAAGGCUGAACCAGCCAAGCCGCGUGAGGGAGGAAGGCGCAGAGCGUCGCAGACCUCUUUUGCCGGGGGACAAAAGGCCGGACGGGUCCGGUUCUGCGGGUACCCGGAGAAAAAGCAUCGGCUAACUCCGUGCCAGCAGCCGCGGUAAUACGGAGGAUGCGAGCGUUAUCCGGAUUCAUUGGGUUUAAGGGGUGCGCAGGCGGGCCUUUAAGCCGGCGGUGAAAUCGCGGGGCUCAACCCCGCCGAGCCGUCGGAACUGGGGGAGUGGAGGGCGGCGGUGGCAGGCGGAAGGCGCGGUGGGGGGGGGAAAGGCAUAGA